rnacentral:rRNA from 1 species
UACGUAGGGGGCAAGCGUUGUCCGGAAUCUUUGGGCGUAAAGCGCGUGUAGGCGGCCAGAAAAGUCCGCUGUGAAAACUCGAGGCUCAACUUCGAGCUGUCGGUGGAAACUUUCUGGCUAGAGUCCGGAAGAGGAGAAUGGAAUUCCUGGUGUAGCGGUGAAAUGCGCAGAUAUCAGGAAGAACACCCGUGGCGAAGGCGGUUCUCUGGGACGGUACUGACGCUGAGACGCGAAAGCGUGGGGAGCGAACAGG